rnacentral:rRNA from 1 species
AAUGCUUAGGAAUCUGCCUAUUAGUGGGGGACAACGUUCCGAAAGGAACGCUAAUACCGCAUACGCCCUAAGGGGGAAGGCAGGGGAUCUUCGGACCUUGCGCUAAUAGAUGAGCCUAAGUCAGAUUAGCUAGUUGGUGGGGUAAAGGCCUACCAAGGCGACGAUCUGUAGCGGGUCUGAGAGGAUGAUCCGCCACACUGGGACUGAGACACGGCCCAGACUCCUACGGGAGGCAGCAGUGGGGAAUAUUGGACAAUGGGCGGAAGCCUGAUCCAGCCAUGCCGCGUGUGUGAAGAAGGCCUUUUGGUUGUAAAGCACUUUAAGCGAGGAGGAGGCUACUGGUAUUAAUACUACUGGAUAGUGGACGUUACUCGCAGAAUAAGCACCGGCUAACUCUGUGCCAGCAGCCGCGGUAAUACAGAGGGUGCGAGCGUUAAUCGGAUUUACUGGGCGUAAAGCGUACGUAGGUGGUCUUUUAAGUCGGAUGUGAAAUCCCUGAGCUUAACUUAGGAAUUGCAUUCGAUACAGGGAGACUAGAGUAUGGGAGAGGAUGGUAGAAUUCCAGGUGUAGCGGUGAAAUGCGUAGAGAUCUGGAGG